UACGGGGGGGGCAAGCGUUGUUCGGAAUUACUGGGCGUAAAGGGCUCGUAGGCGGCUAACUAAGUCGGAUGUGAAAUCCCCAGGCUCAACCUGGGAACUGCAUCCGAUACUGGAUGGCUUGAAUUCGGGAGAGGGAUGCAGAAUUCCAGGUGUAGCGGUGAAAUGCGUAGAUAUCUGGAGGAAUACCGGUGGCGAAGGCGGCAUCCUGGACCGACAUUGACGCUGAGGAGCGAAAGCCAGGGGAGCAAACGGG
rnacentral:rRNA from 1 species